UGGGGAAUAUUGGACAAUGGGCGCAAGCCUGAUCCAGCCAUGCCGCGUGAGUGAUGAAGGCCUUAGGGUUGUAAAGCUCUUUCGUUGGGGAAGAUAAUGACGGUACCCAAAGAAGAAGCCCCGGCUAACUUCGUGCCAGCAGCCGCGGUAAUACGAAGGGGGCUAGCGUUGCUCGGAAUCACUGGGCGUAAAGCGCACGUAGGCGGCUUUCUAAGUCAGAGGUGAAAUCCUGGAGCUCAACUCCAGAACUGCCUUUGAUACUGGAGAGCUCGAGUCCGGGAGAGGUGAGUGGAACUGCGAGUGUAGAGGUGAAAUUCGUAGAUAUUCGCAAGAACACCAGUGGCGAAGGCGGCUCACUGGCCCGAUACUGACGCUGAGGCACGAAAGCGUGGGGAGCAAACAGGAUUAGAUACC
rnacentral:rRNA from 1 species